GUGGGAGAGGAGUUGCUGCAGUCCAGCGAGGCAAGAAAGCAGCACUUCCGUGACCUGAGAACUUCACCAUUCUGUGAGAGGGGCAGCUGCACUGUGUGAUGAUGACUCAAACUAGACUAAAGAAAACAAAACAGGGAACAAAUGUCCUGCGCCUGCUGGAUCAAAAGCUCAAGCGUGGCAGAGCCUUCCACUACCCCAAAAUAUAUCACCAAGGCAACUGUAGCAGUAUUGCAAACAGGUACUGCAAAGGCUUCCCAGGCAGGAUUUCAAUAAUCUGAUUUUCCUGCAGUAUGUGCUCUACAACACUCAGCAAGUCUUUUUGGAGAUGAAAAGCAUGCUAACACCAUUCCAAAGAGUAUCUUGGUACAGUAGGCUGUUAUCAGUGCUCUUCUGAAAGAAAAUCACAAGUGUCACUGUUCAAAGGUCACACGAGGAGCCGAGCAGAGUCGGCACAGCUUGGAAGUUGUUGGUUGUUCUUGCUUGGGCCCCUUUCCUCAAACAAAUUUCUGAAAGGAUAAGGAGAUAACCAACUUCCCUCUUCUCUGCCCUGUUCCUUCUCUGGAAGGGAAAGCUCAUCCUGUAACAGCACCAAGUACGUCUUGUCUUUUCUGGUUGCACUGAUCUGUAAGAAUUGGAUUGUGACUACUGUUCCGUGCAGCUCUUCCCUCUCGAGUUGUCCCCGUGGUACUCGUGAGUUCUGAUGGAGAGCACUGGAAUACCAGUGUUCGAGCAAUCCUUGUGUUUACACUCAUCCUUUCUACCACACUCACAGCAGCCAGUGUGCCUAUGAUCCAUAGCCUGCUUUAGAAGUCACUGACAACAUGCCAGGAAUGGCUCACAAGGGGGUGUUUUGAAGGGCUAACUGCAGAAGACUGCAAAUUCCGUUAUUAUCUUCUUGCAUCCUGGAGAACUCCGCUCCAUAAGUAAUGGAAUCACAUCAGCGUAUCAGCUGGCUUAGGACUUUUCUGCUCAAUGUCACACACAGAACUCAAUACCACAGUGAGCUGAAAGCACCAGCAGUCUAGGUGUCUGUUCUCAUGAAGGAAUCGUGCGGUGCCACAACACAGAUCUCCUUGUUCUUUCCACAAAACAGAAAACGUCUUCAAAUUCUUUGUUUGGUCCAAAAGUACAUCCUGAAGGAGGUAGUGCCUGUAGUGCCUCUCCUGUAGAGCUGCUGCCACACAAACUGUAACCCAGCAAAUAAUCAUGGGACACACUGGCUCUACUCAAUCUCUCGAUUUUCAAGGACAUCUACGGUUCAAGACAGCUGGAUGAAAAAGUUUGUCUCAGCUUUCCAGCAGUUUGGUGAGAAGGGUUCUACACUUCAUCGACUUUACUCAAACUGCUCCUCAAAAUCCUGCAGCAAAAUGGGUCUGAGGCUGAAAACAUUGUUUAUUUCCACUCUUUUCAUAAACAAUCCAGAAGAAGCAACCCCCCCAAAAUGAACCUUGGCAGGAGUACUCAGCAAGGUUUGCUGCUGGCACAAUGUGGCAGGAAAGAUGCCAACACGAGGUAGGGAUUUAUACCUGCAACAGGUUGUCUUCUUCACAUCCAUGACUGCAUCCAGGAAAGGAGACACUCCAGCCCCAUCCCCCCAUCCUGUGACUGGCUGGUUUAGCCACAGGUCCAAGAGUGCUAACCCACAAUCCUGUGCUUUAGCCAUCACUUUUCAUACUGCGAAUACAUGUCCCAUGGUCAUGGAUGGAAGGUCGAGUUCAGAAGGAAAUGACUAGAAAAGAGGCAUCUGGAUCAAGUAAUACCACCAGCAAGCAGAGCAUCUCAGCAGCAGAAGCACAUGACUCACUUAAAGAAAACCUGGCAUGCUGCUGGCUAAGUAAAACAGGAGAGCAAGGUCAUUAAAUGAAAAAUAAGAAUAGAAGUUGAUGGCAAAAAAUUCCCUCGGACAAGGAGAGUCAGGAUCACAGGAAACAAUUUCUCUGACAAAGGAAGUGAACUCCAGAUUCAGGAACACUACAUACAUUUUAGAUUUUGCCCAACACAAGUAUUUAAAAAGGUACCCAACUUUUACUAGCAUUUGCUUAAGAUCAUUAAUACUGACUGGUUAACUCAUUCCUAGUAAAAUGUGAAUGGAACCAGGGAACAAUUUACUAUAGUCAAGGCAUUCUCCAAGAUAGAAGAGGAGUUUGAAGCCUGCUCUGAAACUCUCAAAACCUGGGUUGCCAAAAAGUCCCACCCCUUCUACAUAAUCUGACAGAACAAAAAGCUGUAUCUUGUUUUUAAGACACACUUUCCUUUACAAUCUGCAAAGAUAAUAACAGAAACAAUCCUAAGUAAAGACCCUAAGUAAAGCUACAUCCAUUACCUUACCACUGAGGCAGAUAGCCUAAGCAAUAUAAAUAGUAGAGAAAUUAUUUUGAAAGAUACCAAUGCUCUUAUCCCAGAGCAAUGUUCUUUUUAUGUGGCACUGAACAGUUUCAUUCAGCGCAUUGGCCUUCCAGGCUCAUCCUUGUUUCUCGUUCUAUGGACGACAGAGCAGGGGGGCUGGCAGGGCACAUAAUUUGUCUUCUUGGUGUGCAUGCACGCUUCAGAAAGCUUUUCCUCUCCAUUUCCCUGCCGCUACAUGUAAAUAAUUCUCCCUACCUUCUACCUUUGAAAUUUAGUAGGGUGUGGGGAGGAGCUAGAAGGAUUUGUUCGGGAUGCUAGAGUAAAUUACUACUAAAACAUGCAGCAAUAAUGAAAAGGAGCACUUGAGUCAGCGUCAGCUGUGUUAUUGGGAAGUCACUACACAUCCCCACAUGCUGUACUGCUCUUCCCACAAACAUCCUUUCUGUCCUUGCCUUUCAAGAGCAGGAACCAAAGAGUCAUCUUGGUACCAAAGCAUGAAAAGACAGUUUGACAUUAGCAGGGGUGUACACAGCAGUCUCUACAGCGUUCUAGCUCUGCUACUAAAGACUUAGAUACAUCCCACUGAAAUAAGUGGGUUAUGUGCAUAACUUCUGAGAUGCCCUUAACACUGUGAGUGUGCAGUCUAUGAUAGGAAUGUUUUAGCCAAAGUGCCUUUUAAGGUACAAAAAUAUGAAGAGUAAAACGUGAAGUUGCAAUAAAAUAACAACUCUUCUUUUAACCGUGGGUCAGGCACUCAGCAAGCGUGUUCUGUUUUGGUUUUAAAGCUGAUACUGCUCCCUGAACUCAAAAGCUGUGAUAACACUGAGAUUUUUAAGAUCCAGAUUUAGUGCUGUGCUCUUGUUUUGGUAGAUACUUACAUGUCAGCAGUCACACAAGAUGAUAUUUACUUUUAGACUGCUGGAUGCACUUUCCUUAAUCUUUUUGCCUGAGCUCAUUCUACUGAGCAAAAGAAAACGUGUAUUGUCAGAAGCAGCCCUGCUUUAUAAACACUGACAACUCUCUCUCCACUUAGCACCAAGCCAGCCAAGCUCUCCGGAGCUGAAUCAGGUCUUUAGGAUUUGAGAUGCGUCCGCACAUCUACUCUCAACACGCUUGUCGAGGCAGACAGGUUUCAGUUGAUCUUACCUUCCAAACCUUGGCAACAUCUUAACAUAAUGCACAAACAGCAAGUAAAAACAGAAGUGGACGGGCAAAAACUUCAACCAAGAGUCAGAUGGCAGCUAUAAUACCCCAGUGAAAAUGAAAUUGUUUGCUCUGUCAGGAGCUAUAUAGUCUCACAGACUACAUAGCAAGUCACAAACGCCUCGGCAAAUAGUCGGACAAGGUACACGUUACCUUUACCUUUGUAAAUAAAACCAGAGCUCGGACUCACCGCGGUGACA